rnacentral:rRNA from 1 species
UAUACAUCUUCGGAUGUACAAUCAGUGUCGAACGGGUGAGUAAAAGGUAGGGACCUACCCCGAGGACAGAGAUAGCUACUGGAAACGGUAGGUAAACUCUGAUAAGCCCGAGAGGGGAAAGUGGGAGUCAGCCUUGGGAUGGACCUACUAUCCAUCAGGUAGUUGGUGAGGUAAAGGCUUACCAAGCCGAUGACGGAUAACCGGUGUGAGAGCAUGUACGGUCACAAGGGCACUGAGACACGGGCCCUACUCCUACGGGAGGCAGCAGUGGGGAAUAUUGGACAAUGGGCGAAAGCCUGAUCCAGCGACGCCGCGUGAAGGAAGAAGUCCUUCGGGAUGUAAACUUCUGAACUAAUCGAAUAAGAGGGUAGUGGACACACUACAGAAGAAAGUAGAUUAAGAAAAGUCCCGGCUAACUACGUGCCAGCAGACGCGGUAAGAUGUAGGGGGCGAGCGUUGCCCGGAAUCACUGGGUGUAAAGGGGACGUAGGCGGAUGAUCAAGUCAUCUGUGAAAAGAGUGCUCAACGAUUGGCUUGCGGAUGAAACUGUUCAUCUUGGGGCGUAGCAGAGUAGACGGAAUACCUGAGUAGGGGUGAAAUCCGCAGAUACAGGUAAGAAGGCCGGUGAAGAAGUUGGUCUACUGGGCUACAGCUGACGCUGAGGUCCGAAAGCCAGGGGAGCGAACCGGAUUAGAUACCCGGGUAGUCCUGGCUGUAAACGAUGCUCACUAGGUGUAGGGAGCGAAAGACUCUCUGUGCUGAAGCGAACGCGCUAAGUGAGCCACCUGGGGAGUACGUCCGCAAGGAUGAAACUCAAAGGAAUUGACGGGGGUCCGCACAAGCGGUGGAGCAUGUGGUUUAAUUCGAAGCUAACCGAAGAACCUUACCAGGGAUUGACAUGUAACUGAAGGUAG